rnacentral:tRNA from 1 species
GGUCCCAUGGUAUAAUGGUCUCACUGUGGACUUUGAAUCCAGUCAUUUGAGUUCAAAUGUCAGUGAGACCU